rnacentral:rRNA from 1 species
AGAGUGAACGCUGGCGGCAGGCCUAACACAUGCAAGUCGAACGGCAGCACAGAGGAGCUUGCUCCUUGGGUGGCGAGUGGCGGACGGGUGAGGAAUACGUCGGAAUCUGCCUAUUUGUGGGGGAUAACGUAGGGAAACUUACGCUAAUACCGCAUACGACCUACGGGUGAAAGCGGAGGACCUUCGGGCUUCGCGCAGAUAGAUGAGCCGAGUCGGAUUAGCUAGUUGGCGGGUAAAGGCCCACCAAGGCGACGAUCCGUAGCUGGUCUGAGAGGAUGAUCAGCCACACUGGAACUGAGACACGGUCCAGACUCCUACGGGAGCAGCAGUGGGGAAUAUUGGACAAUGGGCGCAAGCC